rnacentral:ncRNA from 1 species
UACCUGAUUGUUAUGAUCAGCCCUAUGUGGUUAGUUGAAAAAUUAAGCCAUGCAUGAGGAGUUUUGAUUUAAGUGAAACUGCAAAUGGCUCAUUAGAUUAGAUGUCAUUUAUUUGGAAAAUCCUAAAAAUUUUGAAUAGAUGAGAUAGUGGCUAAAAAUAGGAAAACCAUUCCUAUAGAACAGUUAUUUCAAUGAGUUGAUUACAGACCUUUUUUCGAGCAUGAAGUGGAGGGCAAGUCUGGUGCCAGCAGCUGCAGUAAUUCCAUCUCCACUAGUGUAAAUCGUCAAUGCUGAGGCUAAAAAGUUCAUAGUUUUAUCUGAAUUGCAUGCAAUGAUUCGUCUUUAGCGUUUAUCACUACUGUAAUUAUUUGCCAGUUUUCUAUUAAAAUUUCGAUUUAUUUAAUGGCUAGCGUGUUUACUCUGAAUAAAUUAGAAUGCUCAGAACGAGCGUUUGCUUGAAUGGCCGAUCAUGGAAUAAUAAGGAGGACUUCGGUUCUAUUUAUUGAUUCAGGAACUGAAGUAAUGAUUAAGAGUGACAAUUCGGGGCAUUCGUAUAUCUAAGCAAAAGGUGAAAUUCGUGGACCGCAGGCCGAGGCCCUAAAGCAAAGGCAUUUGCCUUCAUUAAACAAGAAGUCAGAGCUUCGAAGGCGAUUAGAUACCGCCCUAGUUCUGACCGUAAAUUAUACAAUUUAGCGAUCCGAUAAGAUAUUGCUGCCUUAUCGAUAAUCUUUCCGAAAACGAGAGUCUUUCGGUUCCAGGGGUAGUAUGGUUGCAAAGCUAAAACUUGAGCAAAUUGACGGAAUGGCACCACCAGGAGUGGAGCCUGCGGCUUAAUUUGACUCAACACGGGAAAACUCUUCCGGCCCGGACACCGCAAGGAUUGACAGAUUGAAAGCUUUUUCUCGAUUUGGUGGUUUGUGGUGAAUUGCUGUUCUUAGUUAAUGGAGAGAUUUGUCUGGGUGACUGGGUCAGGUCAUAGAAUCAGCCUGAGAUAUGCCGUGAGUUCACGCGUGAUGACAAGACACUCCUCCUCGGAGUUUAUUUUUGAACUACAAAAAAUAAUACAGAACGCUGGAAGAGUUCUACACGCUUGUAUCCUGGUUUCCUUUACGAGGAUGGUGAUUUAUCAAAAAAAAAAUGGCGCUAGAUUCAAAAUGAGGCCUAUAUUGGUCCUUUACAAACCACACACUUCAUGGCUUAUGAAGCCUACGCAGUGAAUAAAAUGUCACGGAAUCUGUCCGGUUAAUGUAAUCAUUAACUGAUGUUGAAUUUUUUAGCAUCCAGCUGACUAUUUGAUUCCGUAAUAUCAUCGCUAGUUUGACCCUUUCCGGAGCAACCAUGUCCCUUCUCUGCGCAGUCGGUAACAGGCUGCCGGUCUUGU